rnacentral:rRNA from 1 species
UACAGAGGUCUCAAGCGUUGUUCGGAUUCAUUGGGCGUAAAGGGUGCGUAGGUGGCGCCGUAAGUCAGGUGUGAAAUUUCGGAGCUUAACUCCGAAACUGCAUUUGAUACUGCGGUGCUUGAGGACUGGAGAGGAGACUGGAAUUCACGGUGUAGCAGUGAAAUGCGUAGAUAUCGUGAGGAAGACCAGCGGCGAAGGCGGGUCUCUGGACAGUUCCUGACACUGAGGCACGAAGGCCAGGGGAGCAAACGGG